rnacentral:rRNA from 1 species
UACGUAGGGUGCGAGCGUUGUCCGGAAUUAUUGGGCGUAAAGGGCUCGUAGGCGGUUUGUCGCGUCGGGAGUGAAAUCCACUGGCUCAACUGGUGGCUUGCUUUCGAUACGGGCAGACUGGAGGUAUGCAGGGGAGAACGGAAUUCCUGGUGUAGCGGUGAAAUGCGCAGAUAUCGGGAAGAACACCUAUGGCGAAGGCAGCUCUCUGGGACGGUACUGACGCUGAGACGCGAAAGCGUGGGGAGCGAACAGG